rnacentral:rRNA from 1 species
CAGCAAUUCAUUUAAAGAGUGCGUAACAGCUCACUGGUCGAGCGACAGAGCAUCGAUAAUAAUCGGGCAUCAAGUGUAGUACCGAAGCUCAGGAUUUGCAGUAAUGCAAGUGGUAGGGGAGCAUUCUAACAGCGGCGAAGUCGUCUGGUAAUGGACGGUGGAGCGGUUAGAAAAGCAAAUGUAGGCAUAAGUAACGAUAAGGCAGGCGAGAAACCUGCCCACCGAAAGACUAAGGGUUCCGCGGCAAUGUUAAUCAACCGCGGGUAAGUCGGGACCUAAGCAAAAGCCGAGAGGCGUAUGUGAUGGACAAUUGGUUAAUAUUCCAAUACUACCGUAUUGAGCGAUGGGAUGACGGAGGAGUGAUAGUUCCGCGAUCUGACGAAAUAGGUCGUUAAAAGGUGUAGGUAUAGGACCUGUAGGAAAAUCCGCAGGUUUUGCUGAAACCCAACAGUACCUGGAGGCUUCGGCCAAAGGGAUAGAGAACGUAAGCAGACUUCCAAGAAAACCCCCUAAGCAUAUUGAUAUGGUACCCGUACCGGAAACCGACACAGGUAGUCGAGGAGAGGAUCCUAAGGUGCUCGAGUGAGUCAUGGCUAAGGAACUAGGCAAAUUAACCCUGUAACUUCGGGAGAAGGGGUGCCUCCUCUAGCAAUAGAGAGGUCGCAGAGAAAUGGUCCAGGCGACUGUUUAACAAAAACACAUGGCUAUGCGAAAUCGAAAGAUGAAGUAUAUGGCCUGACACCUGCCCGGUGCUGGAAGGUUAAGGGGGGACGUUAGUCGCAAGGCGAAGCGUUGAACUGAAGCCCCGGUAAACGGCGGCCGUAACAAUAACGGUCCUAAGGUAGCGAAAUUCCUUGUCGGGUAAGUUCCGACCUGCACGAAUGGUCUAAUGAGUUGAACGCUGUCUCCUCCACGAGCCCGGUGAAAUUGUAGUAUCGGUGAAGAUGCCGGUUACCCGCCACGGGACGGAAAGACCCCGUGAACCUUCACUACAACUUUGCAUUGAUUUUGAAUUACGGAUGUGUAGAAUAGUUGGGACGCUUUGAAGCAUUGCCGCCAGGUAGUGUGGAGCGGUCGUUGAAAUACCAACCUUCUUUGAUUUAGAGUCUAAUCCCUUGCGGGAAACAGUGCAUGGUGGGUAGUUUGACUGGGGUGGUCGCCUCCUAAAGAGUAACGGAGGCUUGCAAAGGUACCCUCAGUACGGUUGGUAAUCGUACGUAGAGCGCAUUAGUAUAAGGGUGCUUGACUGUGAGGCAAACAGGCCGAGCAGGGACGAAAGUCGGCUAAAGUGAUCCGGCGGUUCUGUAUGGAAGGGCCGUCGCUCAAAGGAUAAAAGGUACGCCGGGGAUAACAGGCUGAUCUCCCCCAAGAGCUCAUAUCGACGGGGAGGUUUGGCACCUCGAUGUCGGCUCGUCACCACCUGGGGCUGGAGAAGGUCCCAAGGGUUGGGCUGUUCGCCCAUUAAAGUGGCACGCGAGCUGGGUUCAGAACGUCGUGAGACAGUUCGGUCCCUAUCUGUGAUGGGCGUAGGAAGUUUGAGAGGUCUUGACCUUAGUACGAGAGGACCGGGUUGAACCAACCGCUGGUGUACCGGUUGUGGCGUCAGCUGCAUUGCCGGGUAGCUAUGUUGGGACGAGAUAAGCGCUGAAAGCAUCUAAGCG